AUUUUAUAUUUUGUAUUUCCAGACAGAAGUGGUAAUAGCUGGGAGUGUGAAACAAUUUGGUAGCAUUUAAUCCCACGGCACUCCGCUGUCUGUGAGAUUUCUUGUUACGUUGCUCCAGUACUUUGUCCCAGAAAGUGAUGACCAGUGCAGCACCCAGUGACAGGUGACUGAAAUAGUGACCACCUUGUCGGGACUAUCAUCUCUGAACUCAUCCUGUAGUUGACCUGUCAGCAGCAGCAGCAACAGUUUGGAACAGUUCUGCCAUCGAACGCCUCCCAGCUGCAGGUGCAGCACCAGACAAAAGCAUCUUCACAGAGCAGGACUCAGCCGGAGACGGCUCCCGAGGCUCUGUAAUCGAAUCUUUCCAUUCUAACAGCAGGUAAACCUGGUGGCUGGCUCUCAGAGCUGCUUGUUGAAUACCACACAGCCUCUUCCACCCUCCUGCAGAAGCUGCCGGCACCAGGGCACUUUCUCACUGGAUAAUAAUGCUCCAGAUUGGGUGUGUUUAUUACAGACACCAUUUCUGAUGGGAAGAUAGUUAUUAAAGGCUGUACGGAGAGCAAGAUCAAUAUUCGGUUUGAUGAUGUCGGACGAAGCGGUGUCAUCUAGAGGUACUAAAUAGGAUGAGGGUAUUGCUGUGACAAGUACUGCAGAAACUCCAGCUUCUGUGACCCAGCAGGACAUGGAAGCAACAGACCCAUUUGCCACAUUCAGCUGCAUUCAGUAGAGAGGCUGAGGCUUGGAGACAUUGAAUAUCUGAAGGCUUUUGAAGAAGAAACAUCACCCUAAUACUUCCACAGCAGGAGGCAGCUGAGCUUCACCUUCAGCUCAGACUCUGCCAAGGAACACCUAAAGGAUGAGCAAAUCAGAUAAAGGAGGGGAGUGCAGGACCAUGGAGUGAUGGAGGACUUAGGGAUGCAAAUUUGUAUGUAACCACCUCUUUCAGUCCCACUACUCACAGGGUGACUUCUUUAUGUAGAACCUGAAUGAUUGCAUGUUAUCUUCAAAUGCAUCUGGACCCCUUACGAGUGAUUGCUAAUAAUAAUAUACAGGUGAACACAGAUGAGAAAUGCAGCCUACAUAAUCCCUAAAGUGGACUCCUGCACUGACCCACUCAAGUACAGAAGCAGAUCAUGAUGAAGAACCAGUGCAGACUGCCUUAUCCUGUGGGGAUACCCAGCCUGAGGGCGAUAAAGAAGGCAAAUCCCAAGCUCUGCUUCCUUAAUCAGAGAGGAAAGAGGUUUUGUGUGCAGACAGUUCUGCUGAUAGGAACAAGGGUGCUCCAAGGUGUCCCUGUGCAGUCUUUGCUUGUGGGACCCAUCACCUCCUUAGAAACAUGGCCGCCUUCUACCACAGGGACAGAGAAAAAGUACCAUUUCAAAUAUGCCCCAUCUGUGGUUCCUAUGUUUGGAAAGCACUGGUGCACCUGUGAAAGGAGCGGAGUGAGCUGCAGGAGCAUUUGAUCUUGUGUAUUGAUCUCCCUGAAGAAAUGAGCCAACCUGCUGCCAACUUGCACUGAUCUGGAUGCUUUGCUCUGUGAUCGACAGCAAGGUAGUGUGCCAGAAAGGUCUGGGUUGUCCGAGCUGGAUUUGUGCCAUGAGAGUCAUGGGCCAGACUUUGCAGCUAGGAUUUGCAGGUGGUUUGUACUUCAGAUUUACCAUUUCCUUAAUACUCGAGGAUGGUGACACAAUCCUUCCUCUCUUUUGGAGAGAUGGCAGGGACGUUUGCACCACAUAUUAUCUUACUGAGAAAGGAGGUGGAAAUCCACUAGCGUGGUAGUACAGAUGAAAAUAUUAUCACAUUUGCUACACAACAUUUCCAUAUACAUUCUGAGGGCAUUUCUGUGGACAACAGAUGGGGGACUCACUGUCAAUAUGAGGAGGGCAGCAGAGAGAUCUUUGAGAUAAUUUGGAAGAGAAUUUGCAGAGAAGGCAAAUGUACCUCCUUCAGCUGGACAAGCUGUCAGAAGUCCUAACAAAGUUCCUCACAUUUUCUCUCUUCGGUGUAUUUUUAUAAGAAGGGAAAAUUGAAGGGAAAAGAAAGUCUCCUCUAAUCCUUACAAAAGUAUUGCUUUAUUGCACAUUCAUGAUAACGUGAUAACUUCUGUUUUCAAGAAAUGAAAUUCCAUAUGAUGGGUUAUUCUGAAAAGUGUUGACAAAUACAAUCCUAAUAUAAACCUUAAAACAAUACAAUUAUUGAUGCAAUGGCAUAUAAUAUCUCAACUUUCUUGAAGUAUUAUGCUUACUAUUAGUUUUUGCGCUUGGUAUUCUAUUAAAAAAUAAAAAAUGACCUCUUUUACCAUCACUGCAUCUAUCUCUCUAUAUUUAUUUGAUGCACAUCACAUGCUGCUGUCCAGAGAGCCUCUCCUCCAUUUCCAAAGUCAUCUCUCUCCACUGGCUUACAUCAUUUGGUCUUGGUGCACUGUCUCCGUUGGAAAAUUUGAACAACCUUUUCAAAACCACACACACGUUCCUUACCAGCUGCCUUUGUGAAUGGAGCCUUUUCCAGAAAAAUGUGACCUCACUUGGAAAUGACGCAAAGCUUUGGUUAGCACUGCAGAGUCUGAGCUGGUAAGACCUACCUGCUGAUACGGUG
rnacentral:lncRNA from 1 species